AGUGAACGCUGGCGGCGUGCCUAAUACAUGCAAGUCGAACGGAGAUUAAGUAGCUUGCUAUUUAAUCUUAGUGGCGCACGGGUGAGUAAUAUAUAGCUAACUUGCCCAUUACUAAGGGACAACAGUUGGAAACGACUGCUAAUACCUUAUACUCCGUAUCUAUAUAAGUAGAUACGGGAAAGUUUUUCGGUAAUGGAUAGGGCUAUAUCGUAUCAGCUAGUUGGUAAGGUAAUGGCUUACCAAGGCUAUGACGCGUAACUGGUCUGAGAGGAUGAUCAGUCACACUGGAACUGAGACACGGUCCAGACUCCUACGGGAGGCAGCAGUAGGGAAUAUUGUUCAAUGGGGGAAACCCUGAAGCAGCAACGCCGCGUGGAGGAUGACACUUUUCGGAGCGUAAACUCCUUUUCUUGGGAAAGAAUUAUGACGGUACCCAAGGAAUAAGCACCGGCUAACUCCGUG
rnacentral:rRNA from 1 species